UUCCCACCCACAUUUGCAGAUUUUGGGGGGAACCCGUUCUUGGUGGAAACCCCCUCUUCUUGCCGUUUUUCCAUUGGUGCAGAAUUGGGACCUUUUUUUUCCCCCCUCGUUCCCAGAAAAACGUCUCCUCCUCCUCCUCCUCCUUCCCUUUCCCCAUUUUGUUUCUCACUCGAUCAGCAUGAGCAGCACGAGGGUAUUUGAACGCUCCACCGUGCACAGAGAGCCAUCGGCGUCAUCCUCUGCAAAAUCAUUUCCACCUUUGAUGGAGCAAAAGCACGCGGAUGUGGUCCCGUACCACCAACGCCUGCCGCCUCCCCAACACGACCAUCAUCAUCUUCACGCCGUGUCGUACCCGCCUCAUCACCAUGGUGAAGGAAACAUGGCUGCCGUGACGAAGGAGCAGGACGCCAUCUACGGCCACACCCUGUUCCCGCUGCUUGCGUUGCUGCUGGGGAAGUGCGACCUGGCCACAUGGACGUCGCGGCAGGGGGGACGCGGGGGGACCGCGGAGGACGUCUGCUCCUCGCUCUCCUUCGACGACGACAUCAGCGCCUUCGCCGAGCAGGUGAGGACAUCUCAGAAGUUGUUUUCGUGUCAUCCUGAGCUUGAUCAUUUGAUGAUCCAAGCCAUCCGAGUGCUGCACUUCCACCUCUUGGAGCUGGAGAAGGUUCACGAGUUGUGCGACAACUUCUGCGCUCGUUACGCCAGCUGCCUGAAAGGAAAUACGCCGAUCGAUCUGGUGAUUGACGACGAGGAUAACCACAAUCUGCUAACGAGUAGAGAUGACGACGACAUAAUGACGUCUUUUUGGAAGCCGCCGCUCAUGCUGCCGGGUCACCAUAGCGACAAUGGCAGACACGCAGGCAACGGCGUGGGUGAGAGCGUGGCGUCUCCAAGCACGGGCGACAACGACGGCGGCUGCGAUGUGAACGACGAGCGACACGACCACAAGAAACGAGGCGUCUUCCCCGAAGUGGCCACCAACAUCUUGAGGGCGUGGCUCUUCCAGCACCUGGUGGGCCGCGGGCGUGCUGGAGCCUAUCCCAGCUAUCUUCGGGCGAGAGGCGGGGUACUUCCUAAACUGGUCGCCAGACAAUUACAGGGGGUAUAUUCUACAGGUUGAUUUUUAGUGUAUAGGCCUAAUGGUUCGCCAAUGUGUCAAACGGCCACAGUGUAGCGCACACUACUGGCGCGGAGGACUUAACUCUAUCUCAAAUUAUUUUUGGCUUAAGUAUCAGUGGCUGGUAUGGGCAGCCUUCGCUAGUACCUGAUACCUUGAAAUAAAGCUGGUAUUGGCCCGAUUCUGUUACCUGGCAUACACAAUUUUAGAUUAUAAGUCAUUUUUUUCCCACCGAAACUCCGGGGGUGCUGAAUGAUCCCAAUCGAAAUACAACCCGCCAAAGUGGCUACGUUGGUGAAAUUCACCCGCAUUUGGCAGGUUGGCAGCAUCCAUAUCCGUGCGAGGAUGAGAAGAAACAGCUGUCACAUGACACGGGCCUGUCCAUCCUGCAGGUCAACAACUGGUUCAUCAAUGCCAGACGGCGAAUCGUUCAGCCAAUCCUUGACCAGAACAACCGUGUUG